AAAAAAGGCUCACAAAACCAUCUCUUCUUCUCCUUACUUGGCCGGCCAUUUCUCCCUCCAUUUGCCAAGAAAAUUUCAGCUUCAUCUUCUUCAUUUUGUUCCCUAAAUCUUGCUCCACCUAGCCCAUUCUCUUGGAGCAUCCUCAAGCUUAGUAGGAGAUUUGAAGGAGGAGAGAUUCUUGGUGAUUUAAAACUUAAACUCUUGUGGUUUUGCCUACUACUCUUGGAAGGAAGAUCCGAGAAGGCGAUAUGGUAGAUGGAAGAAAUAAGUGGAGCUCUACAGACAUGUUGCUGGUUGAGUUGACAGAGGGUCAAUCAAAGAUGGCAUGAACCGGUCGAGACAUGGAAAUAGCUCCUUAGACCUCCUGUAGCCUUUUCACUUGUGUUUUAUUUCCUACUUACUCGUUUAUAUGAAGUUGGUGUUAAGUCUCUCCUAAGUGUUCUAUUUGAAUUAGGUCAAGUUACUUGUUUACUUGCUUGCUUGAUUUCUUGGCUUCAUUGAGCAUUAGCUCACUCCAAUUUGUUUUUCUUAAUAGGUUUUGGAAGUGAAAGUUGGGAAGUUCUAGACUAGCGGUUUUGGUUGAAACUAGUAAAUUUUUUUGUAUGAUAUUGGAGACAUUAGAAGUGUAUUUUUUUUUUUUAUAUUUGGGUUUUGGAUUGUAAUUGUACACAGUUGCCUUAGAAGAAUUUGGUUUGUA